rnacentral:rRNA from 1 species
CAGAGGCUUGMCUGGGUGGAUGAGUGGCGAACGGGUGAGUAAUACGUGAGUAACCUGCCCUUGACUCUGGGAUAAGCCUGGGAAACUGGGUCUAAUACUGGAUACGACAUGUCACCGCAUGGUGGUGUGUGGAAAGGGUUYUACUGGUUUUGGAUGGGCUCACGGCCUAUCAGCUUGUUGGUGGGGUAAUGGCUCACCAAGGCGACGACGGGUAGCCGGCCUGAGAGGGUGACCGGCCACACUGGGACUGAGACACGGCCCAGACUCCUACGGGAGGCAGCAGUGGGGAAUAUUGCACAAUGGGCGRAAGCCUGAUGCAGCGACGCCGCGUGAGGGAUGACGGCCUUCGGGUUGUAAACCUCUUUCAGCACGGAAGAAGCGAAAGUGACGGUACGUGCAGAAGAAGCGCCGGCUAACUACRUGCCAGCAGCCGCGGUAAUACGUAGGGCGCAAGCGUUGUCCGGAAUUAUUGGGCGUAAAGAGCUCGUAGGCGGUUUGUCGCGUCUGYUGUGAAAGCCCGGGGCUUAACCCCGGGUGUGCAGUGGGUACGGGCAGACUUGAGUGCAGUAGGGGAGACUGGAAUUCCUGGUGUAGCGGUGAAAUGCGCAGAUAUCAGGAGGAACACCGAUGGCGAAGGCARGUCUCUGGGCUGUUACUGACGCUGAGGAGCGAAAGCAUGGGGAGCGAACAGGAUUAGAUACCCUGGUAGUCCAUGCCGUAAACGUUGGGCACUAGGUGUGGGGAACAUUCCACGUUUUCCGCGCCGUAGCUAACGCAUUAAGUGCCCCGCCUKGGGAGUACGGCCGCAAGGCUAAAACUCAAAGGAAUUGACGGGGGCCCGCACAAGCGGCGGAGCAUGCGGAUUAAUUCGAUGCAACGCGAAGAACCUUACCAAGGCUUGACAUACACCGGACCGGGCCAGAGAUGGUCUUUCCCCCUUGUGGGGCUGGUGUACAGGUGGUGCAUGGUUGUCGUCAGCUCGUGUCGUGAGAUGUUGGGUUAAGUCCCGCAACGAGCGCAACCCUCGUUCUAUGUUGCCAGCACGUGAUGGUGGGGACUCAUAGGAGACUGCCGGGGUCAACUCGGAGGAAGGUGGGGAUGACGUCAAAUCAUCAUGCCCCUUAUGUCUUGGGCUUCACGCAUGCUACAAUGGCCAGUACAAUGGGUUGCGAUGCCGCGAGGUGGAGCUAAUCCCAAAAAGCUGGUCU